UUGCAUUUGGUCUGAUGCUCCACACCAUGCUUAGCUCCUCAAUUUGCCUCUGGAGUGCUUGGCCCCGUAAUUGCUGCUUGCAGCUAUAUUUAGGGGCCAAGCACCGAAGGUGCGUAGGCACCUAUUGAAAUCGUUGGCGUUAUUAGGGGCCAAGCACCGAAGGUGCGUAGGCACCUAUUGUAUCCGUUGGCGUUAUUAGGGGCCAAGCACCGAAGGUGCUUAGGCACCUAUUGUAUCCGUUGGCGUUAUUCUUCUUCUUCUUCUUCUUCUUCUUCUUCUUCUUCUUCUUCUUCCGCCACAAGUCUAUGGCAGCCCAUAGAACCGAUUGCGGGAAAGUUGUAUAAUUUGGCACACUGAUAGAGGACAGUCCCA
ensembl:lncRNA